ACUCCGGCAUGCACGCCCACGCAGUACUGUUGGCAUACGUUCAUGAGGUGAAAAGACAGACAUAAAUGGUGCAUCAUGUUUGGAGAACAUAGUCAUAGCAUAUUGGUUUAAACAGCACUGACAUUUACAAACCACAGACAUGUACAUAUUUACUUUGGUUCAUGUGUAAUGAUGACCAGACGCUUUUAUCCUUACGCGUCAUUUCACCUUUCUUUGGCACACUUGAACGUUGGGCCAGUAACCGAAAGGUCCCUAGUUCGAAUCCCACGAGCAGACAAGUUGCUUGCGCCUCAACCUCCAACUCUGACAGGCCACCAUGCCCACAUUAACGCUGGUGGACACCAGAGCAAAUUCGAUUGAACAUGAUAAUACAUCAUAGCCUGAAGGUUUUGAACAGCGCCACAGAAGGGUGGAGAAUAGAGCCAGAGUAUUGAUUUGAUAAAGCCUGGAGGAGUGUUGUAGCCAGCAUCUGGAGUCAGGCUGUGUGAAUGGGAUCCUUUCUUACGGGGGCCUGCGCUCCAGUGAGCGCACUCAGGGCAUGGGGCACUGCACUGCAGGCCUACCAAGAUUUCAAUUGGUUUCCCAAAUGAAGCAUUGGGUAGCUACAGGAACAGGAUUGGAGAGCCCAUGACAUACGGAGAUUGAGGGAAACAUCACCUAUCUGGCAGAGAAAGGCUGCAUGCUCCUCAAACAGUGGUUGAUGAGUGGAGUGAAAUAACCGGAGUAGCCUACCCGAACAAGCGGAAAGCAGCCUCCAUUUGCUAUUUGAGUGCAUACGGAUGACAUCUUUUUUUCCCCCUGGAAGUGGCCAUUCUAAAUCUUAACUGAUUUUACAGAUUAAAUUGAGAAUAGUCUGAUGGGUGAAAAUAGGAUCACUUGAUGAGAGAACUGUGUGUGCAGCCUGAGGCAAGGAACAGAGCACUUUCUCAAAUCAUCAAUAGCCUAUAGUCACAUCAUGCAGCCCAUCUGUUUUGAUUUCUAAGACAUUCUAAGGUUUGUAUCAUUCACAACUAAAGUUGCCAAAUAACUCUAAAUCUAGCGCAUAGGACCUGUUUCAAAUUAUGACUUUUACGCUCAACAUAGCCACUUCAUAUGCGCUAGCUUCGGAAUAGAAAACAUAUCCUUUCUGUUUUAUUCAGCAAAGUUAUCAUUAUAUUCUUCUUACUAUAAAACCAUAUAAUAUAAAAUAAUGGCACAUGAUUUAUAAGACUAUCUUAUCUACUAAAUGGACAAGCCUACAGCCUAUGGCAUGGCCCAUACAGUAGGCCAACUCAUAUUCUGUUCUUCUGAAAUACAUUUUCUUCAUAUCAUAAUGUUUCUUUAGACCUGCCUAAAAUAAAUAUUGGAUUUAUUGUGAUGGUGUAUAUUAAAUUGAUUUAUUAGACAUCUUAUAUUGUUUAUAUUAAUAAUUAACGUUCAAUUACUGUGAGACCGGCAGUCUUUUGCAUGACAAUAAUCGGCUGACAUUUCAUGACGACCACAACCCUAGUAAAGACCCAUUUCAAUAUAAUGUGUUAUGAACAUGUGUGCCAUGGAAUGUCAAUGGAAUUGGCAGUCAAAACAAUUAAGGUAUAUUCUUAUAAUAAUACAAAUAACACCGUCAUGGAGUUUAGGUAAGCUUGGGAUGGGUUGUCAUUCUUCUCCACCUACUGCUUAAUAUCCAGAGGAGUAUACAUUUUCAUUGAUUAAAAAAAAAAAAAAAAAUCCCAUUUAAGUCUACAGAAUUUACUACAAACCCAAAUGGACGUUUUUUAAGUGAAACCUAGCACAUAAAAAGUCACUCUACUGAAUUGUUAUUGCCCAGAUGAAGAGGACCCAAUGUUCAUUAAUAGCACAUAAAAAGUCACUCUACUGAAUUGUUAUUGCCCAGAUGAGGAGGACCCAAUGUUCAUUAAUGAUCUUAUACAAAAAAAUUAUCAAUGUAACCAGAAUAUUAUAUGGAGAGGGGGUUAUUUUAAUUGUGAGCAGGAUGCAACUCUAGACAAGUCAUCAGCAAAACUAUAUCCUCUUCCUAACAUGUCUAAAGUAUUAAACCACAACUGGAACAGUUCUCACUCAUCAUUAUUCACGAGUCAUUCAGGACUAUCUGUAAUAAGGAGGUACCCGUGCUAAGGUCUAUUCAACGCUGGUCUGAAAAAUCGCUAUCUGUGCUUCAAGAUUGUUUUGAUCACGCGCGGACUGGGAUAUGUUCCUCAGGAGGCUGAAGAAAUUUGGCUUGGCCUCUAAAAUCCUCACAAACUUUGACAGAUGCACAAUUGAGAGCAUCCUGUCGGGCUGUAUCACCGCCUGGUACGGCAACUGCACCACCCGCAUCCGCAGGGCUCUCCAGAGGGUGGUACAGUCUGCCCAACGCAUCACCGGGGGGACACUGCCUGCUCUCCAGGUCACCUACAGCACCCGAUGUCACAGGAAGGUCAAAAAGAUCAUCAAGGACAUCAACCACCUGAGCCACGGCCUGUUCACGCCGCUGUCAUCCAGGAGGCGAGGUCAGUACAGGUGCAUCAAAGCUGGGACAAAGAGACUGAAAAACAGCUUCUAUCGUAAGGCCAUCAAACUGUUUAAUAGUCAUCACUAGCCAGAUUCCACCCGGUUACACAACCCUGCACCAUAUUGGCUGCUGUCGGAAGUUUACAUACACUUAGGUUGGCGUCAUUAAAACUUGUUUU